rnacentral:ribozyme from 1 species
UGCCCAGCAACUCCUAUCCCUACCUCCUCGUGGUACUGGCCGGGGUACGAGUAACCUUGGGGAAGAUCGGGUAACCAACCCCCGGUAGGAACUUUGGUCGUAUGCUGACAGGGAAGG